CAUACGACAUUCGUCACCGGUCCCGCGCGAGCGGGUGAAAAGGGAACAUCGUGCGCUUCGGCCGGGCUUCAUUGUCCCGGAAGCAAGUCGAUGGCUGCCCCCGCAACUGUCAGCGGCGAGCCGGUGGUCCGUCCGCCCGCAAGGGCGAGCCACUGAACCGGGAGCGGUUCGGGAAGGCAGGGCCACCAGCGUCGAGCCGUGAGCCAGGAGACCUGCCGGUGUCGCACCAACCUU
rnacentral:ncRNA from 2 species